CAGGGGGCGGGGUUUAUUUGUGUCCGGCGAGGUCCGCCUGCCUGCAGGGGAUUGGGUGAGAGCGGGAAGGAACUGACCAAUGAACGCCGUGGGCCGGGCCGAACAAAAGGGGCGGGACAGCGGCCUGUUCAAACCGGUGGCGGCGGCCGGGCUCGAGCGCGGGGAGCGCGCCGGGCUGGUGAACCUGCCUGGUGCGAUGCAAGCAAAUGAGUUUGACUCAUCUGAUGAAGAGCCUAUUCAAGAUGAUCAGAUACCAUUUCAGAUAUCAUGGUUAGCCCUGUCAUCUGUCUAUUGUUCUCAGUUUCUGGGAGUAUGUUCUCUGCCAGGUAUGUAGCACUGGUUUUAGAAAUUUAGUAGAAAGCAUGGUUAAAGCUAGGAGGAAAUUAUGCUGUCUCCAAAGAUCUCUCUAAACCUUACUCGCUUAGUGGAGUGAUACACAUGUCUUCUGAGCACACAAUAUUGGAAAGAGUGGAGGUAUCAGAUCUCUUGGUUUGAUGCCUGAGACUGUUUUGCCUAAUCCAGAAGAAGUGAUGAAAGGUAACUGCUGACAACCUAGUAUGCUUUCCAAAUUGGAGUACAUUUUAUGAUUGUAAAUGGCAAUGCAAGCCCAUGAAAUGGGACAACUCUGACAAAGCUAAAUUUUUCCACUAUAAGGAAUGUCAAACUAAAGAUCGCAUCUGAAAAAUCCUACACUGUUACAUUCUAAAAAUGUAAAAUAUUAGUAAAGUAUUUCAUGUGUUUUAACCACUUGUGUUUUUUAGUGCUUGUAUUUCACCCAGUUUGGAAUCAAUUAUCACUGUCUCAUUCUCAUGCACUAGCAUUCUGUUGUAAUGUUGGGUUGCAAAUGCCAAAAUGGGUAUUUAAUUCCAAACAGAAUUUCAUUGACACUUUAAACACAUGUGUUUAACACUUUUUUUANUAUUUGGUUGAUGCAGACUUGACACGGCAGAAGCACAAGUCAUAAAAACACACUAUUCUGAAU
rnacentral:lncRNA from 1 species